rnacentral:rRNA from 1 species
CACGAACCGUACGAACGUUAUUCGGAAUUACUGGGCUUAAAGGGUUUGUAGGCGGCCUUAUAAGUCAGGUGUGAAAGCCCUCGGCUCAACCGAGGAAUAGCGCUUGAUACUGUAAGGCUUGAGGGAGACAGGGGUAAGCGGAACUGAUGGUGGAGCGGUGAAAUGCGUUGAUAUCAGCAGGAACACCGGUGGCGAAAGCGGCUUACUGGGUCUCUUCUGACGCUGAGGAACGAAAGCUAGGGUAGCGAACGGG